GGUUGUCCCGGUUUAAGCAUGUAGGCGGAGUGACUUGGUAAAUCCGGUUGCUUAUCAACGCUGAGGUGUGAUGACGAGCCACUACGGUGGUGAAGUAGUUGAUGCCAAGCUUCCAGGAAAAGCCUCUAAGCAUCAGGUAACAUUAAAUCGUACCCCAAACCGACACAGGUGGUCAGGUAGAGAAUACUCAGGCGCUUGAGAGAACUCGGGUGAAGGAACUAGGCAAAAUGGUGCCGUAACUUCGGGAGAAGGCACGCUGGCAUUAGGUAAAGAGACUUGCUCUCGGCGCCGAAGCCAGUCGCAGAUACCAGCUGGCUGCAACUGUUUAAUAAAAACACAGCACUGUGCAAACACGAAAGUGGACGUAUACGGUGUGACGCCUGCCCGGUGCUGGAAGGUUAAUUGAUGGGGUCAGCCGCAAGGCGAAGCUCUUGAUCGAAGCCCCAGUAAACGGCGGCCGUAACUAUAACGGUCCUAAGGUAGCGAAAUUCCUUGUCGGGUAAGUUCCGACCUGCACGAAUGGCGUAAUGAUGGCCAGGCUGUCUCCACCCGAGACUCAGUGAAAUUGAACUCGCUGUGAAGAUGCAGUGUACCCGCGGCAAGACGGAAAGACCCCGUGAACCUUUACUAUAGCUUGACACUGAACAUUGAGCCUUGAUGUGUAGGAUAGGUGGGAGGCAUUGAAGUGUGGACGCCAGUCUGCAUGGAGCCAACCUUGAAAUACCACCCUUUAAUGUUUGAUGUUCUAACUCGGCCCCAUAAUCUGGGGUGAGGACAGUGUCUGGUGGGUAGUUUGACUGGGGCGGUCUCCUCCCAAAGAGUAACGGAGGAGCACGAAGGUUAGCUAAUCACGGUCGGACAUCGUGAGGUUAGUGCAAAGGCAUAAGCUAGCUUGACUGCGAGAGUGACGGCUCGAGCAGGUACGAAAGUAGGUCUUAGUGAUCCGGUGGUUCUGAAUGGAAGGGCCAUCGCUCAACGGAUAAAAGGUACUCCGGGGAUAACAGGCUGAUACCGCCCAAGAGUUCAUAUCGACGGCGGUGUUUGGCACCUCGAUGUCGGCUCAUCACAUCCUGGGGCUGAAGUAGGUCCCAAGGGUAUGGCUGUUCGCCAUUUAAAGUGGUACGCGAGCUGGGUUUAGAACGUCGUGAGACAGUUCGGUCCCUAUCUGCCGUGGGCGUUGGAAGAUUGAGAGGGGCUGCUCCUAGUACGAGAGGACCGGAGUGGACGAAUCACUGGUGUUCGGGUUGUCAUGCCAAUGGCAUUGCCCGGUAGCUAAAUUCGGAAGAGAUAACCGCUGAAAGCAUCUAAGCGGGAAACUUGCCUCGAGAUGAGUCUUCCCUGGGGCUUUAAGCCCCCUGAAGGAACGUUAAAGACUAUGACGUUGAUAGGCUGGGUGUGUAAGUGCAGCGAUGCAUUGAGCUAACCAGUACUAAUGAUCCGUGAGGCUUAACCUU
rnacentral:rRNA from 1 species